CAGUAGCCACGGUAAUACGGAGGGUGCAAGCGUUAAUCGGAAUUACUGGGCGUAAAGCGCACGCAGGCGGUCUGACAAGUCAGAUGUGAAAUCCCCGGGCUUAACCUGGGAACUGCAUUUGAAACUGUCAGGCUGGAGUCUUGUAGAGGGGGGUGGAAUUCCAGGUGUAGCGGUGAAAUGCGUAGAGAUCUGGAGGAAUACCGGUGGCGAAGGCGGCCCCCUGGACAAAGACUGACGCUCAGGUGCGAAAGCGUGGGGAGCAAACAGGAUUAGAUACCCCCGUAGUCCCUGGCUCUUAUAA
rnacentral:rRNA from 1 species